rnacentral:rRNA from 1 species
UUUGCCUACGGGAGGCAGCAGUAGGGAAUCUUCCACAAUGGGCGAAAGCCUGAUGCAGCGACGCCGCGUGAGCGAUGAAGUAUUUCGGUAUGUAAAGCUCUAUCAGCAGGGAAGAAAAUGACGGUACCUGACUAAGAAGCCCCGGCUAACUACGUGCCAGCAGCCGCGGUAAUACGUAGGGGGCAAGCGUUAUCCGGAUUUACUGGGUGUAAAGGGAGCGUAGACGGCAAUGCAAGCCAGAUGUGAAAGCCCGGGGCUCAACCCCGG